AGAUUAAGUUAUUAAGGGCGCACGGUGGAUGCCUUGGCACUAGAAGCCGAUGAAGGACGUUACUAACGACGAUAUGCUUUGGGGAGCUGUAAGUAAGCGUUGAUCCAGAGAUUUCCGAAUGGGGAAACCCAGCAUGAGUUAUGUCAUGUUAUCGAUAUGUGAAUACAUAGCAUAUCAGAAGGCAGACCCGGAGAACUGAAACAUCUUAGUACCCGGAGGAAGAGAAAGAAAAAUCGAUUCCCUGAGUAGCGGCGAGCGAAACGGGAAGAGCCCAAACCAACAAGCUUGCUUGUUGGGGUUGUAGGACACUCUAUACGGAGUUACAAAAGUAUAUAUUAGACGAAUCAUCUGGAAAGUUGAAUCAAAGAAGGUAAUAAUCCUGUAGUCGAAAAUAUAUACUCUCUUGAGUGGAUCCUGAGUACGACGGAGCACGUGAAAUUCCGUCGGAAUCUGGGAGGACCAUCUCCUAAGGCUAAAUACUCUCUAGUGACCGAUAGUGAACCAGUACCGUGAGGGAAAGGUGAAAAGUACCCCGGAAGGGGAGUGAAAGAGAACUUGAAACCGUGUGCUUACAAGUAGUCAGAGCCCGUUAAUGGGUGAUGGCGUGCCUUUUGUAGAAUGAACCGGCGAGUUACGAUUUGAUGCAAGGUUAAGCAGCUAAUGUGGAGCCGUAGCGAAAGCGAGUCUGAAUAGGGCGUUUAGUAUUUGGUCGUAGACCCGAAACCAGGUGAUCUACCCUUGGUCAGGUUGAAGUUCAGGUAACACUGAAUGGAGGACCGAACCGACUUACGUUGAAAAGUGAGCGGAUGAACUGAGGGUAGCGGAGAAAUUCCAAUCGAACUUGGAGAUAGCUGGUUCUCUCCGAAAUAGCUUUAGGGCUAGCCUCAAGUGAUGAUUAUUGGAGGUAGAGCACUGUUUGGACGAGGGGCCCUUCUCGGGUUACCGAAUUCAGACAAACUCCGAAUGCCAAUUAAUUUAACUUGGGAGUCAGAACAUGGGUGAUAAGGUCCGUGUUCGAAAGGGAAACAGCCCAGACCACCAGCUAAGGUCCCAAAAUAUAUGUUAAGUGGAAAAGGAUGUGGCGUUGCCCAGACAACUAGGAUGUUGGCUUAGAAGCAGCCAUCAUUUAAAGAGUGCGUAAUAGCUCACUAGUCGAGUGACACUGCGCCGAAAAUGUACCGGGGCUAAACAUAUUACCGAAGCUGUGGAUUGUCCGUAGGACAAUGGUAGGAGAGCGUUCUAAGGGCGUCGAAGCAUGAUCGCAAGGACAUGUGGAGCGCUUAGAAGUGAG
rnacentral:rRNA from 1 species